GUCUAUGGCCAUGCUACCCUGAACAAGCAGAUCCUGUCUGAUCUCGGAAGCUAAGCAGGGUCAGGCUUGGUUAGUACUUGGAUGAGAGACCACCUAGGAAGACCAGGUGCUAUAGGCG
rnacentral:rRNA from 1 species